rnacentral:rRNA from 1 species
UACGAAGGGGCUAGCGUUGCUCGGAAUUACUGGGCGUAAAGGGAGCGUAGGCGGGUUAUCAAGUUGGGGUGAAAGCCCGGGCUCAACCUCGGAAUUGCCUUCAAAACUGAUAACCUGGAGUAUGGAAGAGGUAAGUGGAACUCCGAGUGUAGAGGUGAAAUUCGUAGAUAUUCGGAAGAACACCAGUGGCGAAGGCGACUUACUGGUCCAUUACUGACGCUGAGGCUCGAAAGCGUGGGGAGCAACAGG